rnacentral:lncRNA from 1 species
GGGCUAAUAGAAGUCCAUUGGAACUUCAGUUAUUUUACUACUUUGCUUCUUAUUCAUGUUCUUCGGCUCGCUUGCAUUCUUCAGUGAUUAGAGAGGGAGAGCGAGAAUGUGAACAGGUGUGGAAGCAAGGAGUGAAUUCCUUGGUGGAAGUGAGCUGUGAGUGGGAGUGGCUGAAGUGACAAGAGUCGCAAAAGAGGAUUAAUUGACCGAGAGAGCAGUUGGGGGAGUGGUAAAGAGAGUUACGUAAGUUGGAAGAAUAAUGGAAAGCCGAAGAACUUGAAUUUAGAAUCGGAGUACACAAUAAUUAAGUUCCGUUUUAUAUACUUACAUUAUAGGCGGAUUAAUUUCGCGCAUUACACCAAAAGUGAUAGGGUCGACUUGGGGAAAGGCUUUUUUCGCCACGCGGUGUUUGACCCAGAAAGGGGAUAAAAAGGGAGUGUUUAGUUGACAAGGGGCAGUUUUUCGUUCCCGAUUUGUUUUGCCGCCGUAGGCCAUGUCGGCUUAAUUUUUGUCUGUCGUCGGUCGUCCAGCCCAGAGAUGCGACAUAUAUUAUUAUCCAGCAUGUAAUCUGACUUUGAUUUAGAAUAAAACCUGAUACACAACUUAACUUCAUCGAACUUGUCAUUCUUUGACUCCCGUCUUUUUUUUGUACGUGGGCAGCGCAAGACGGUGGGCGGCCACCGGCCGUCUUGCAAAGCUGUGCCGCUACAAAAUUGGUAGUACGGAUGGGGUCGACCGUCAUCUUCAGCAUGUUCGGGGAACGUUUUAGUCCUUCAGUCUGGUUUUACGCAUAAACACAAUGUUUAUCGGACAUUGAGAUAAAUUUAACAAGGAUAGCUUCACUUCAUGUCACCGGUUCCGGCUUAUUUUUUGUUCGAGGAUGUGAAUUAUAUUAUUUUAACUUUAACGUUGGAGAGAGAAAUACAGCUGCAGGGGUUGGAUUGAGCCCCCACAUCGCCCGGGUUUUCGACGUUGGGACCUUACAUGUGCCGUUGAGCUCAGGAGAAAGAACCCUUCGUCCUGGGACUCACGCGUGGCUGCAUUGUAGCGAGGAGUCGAGGGACCUGUGAAAACCACUGCAAAUAGACCUGACGGGGUAGCAUAGCUGGUUUCCACUAAAACCCUCCGGAUUAGUUGGUACCGACGAAGUCUGGUGAUUUCACAUUACACUGCGGUGAGAGGAGUCGUUUAACUGCGCGAGAAUCGUCUUGGAAGGGGCUGUAAAGGAACUCAGCAGGGCGAUUGCUUUUCCUUUGGUCGUCUCAUGAGGAUGGAUUGAGGUUAGGUACUGAAGGCCGCAGGCGCUAGUCCGGCUCGGGGAGUUGGACGCUAUCGAGGAGCUCCGAGACAUCGUUCUUCCAACCAACGCUUCGACACGGCCCUUCAUCUUCGUUAUCGACGUGGUGUGGUAGACCCUGUCUUCGAUAUCUUCGACGGUGGAAGCUGGCACUGUCGUUUGGAAGCCGAUAGCCUUGGCGAGUGAAGCAGCAGGAGUCGCUGGAAAACUACAUAUCAGACGGCAGGAUGGUGUCAAACGGAACUGGAGGAGGCAUGGGAUAUCCACCUCUGAUGGUAGUGUUGACAUCAUCCCAAAGUCUUGGUAAAAAAAAAAAAAAAAAAGGUAAUCUUUGGGUUAUUUUUUUUGUCCAUGUAAAAGGACUUCUAAAAUCUGAAUGAAUGAAAGGGAUUUUUUAAAACAAUUGUUUAUCUUUUUAAUGUGGAGGUUUACCCUAGAGGUGCACUAUGUCAUCUGUUUGGAAGCAAAGGAUGAAUUGUACAUAAAAAAAAAAAAAAAAAACUGUAAAGUAAUGAUUCUGAAAGUAUAACACAUAAAAUAAUAGUAACUUUCAGAAUAAGCGUCAUUAUUUGUAAGCAUAGCAGAGCGAGGUCUAACAUGUGCAUGCAUGCUGUCCAAUAUCAAAAUAUUUAUUGUUUACUGUUUAUGAUGCAUGUUCAUGGUUGAUAUAUAAUGCCUGAAGUUGAUUGUUCAUGGUUUACAAUUACAACCCAUCCAUUGAUUAAUGUUCAAUUGAUUAAUAAACACUUUUACUAGGGCAUUAUACAAGUAUGCUGAUGCAAAAUAUUUUUAGUAUCAUUUUGGACAUGAAACAUGCACUUGUUAACUAAGGUUAUUUAUAGUUUUUUUUUAUAAGAUGACCAGAUUUACUGCUGUUGGUUUUUCAUUUUGUAAGGUGGAUACAGAUACGGAUAUGGAUAAUUUUACUUUUCACAUGUAUCAUUGCUAUUAUUACUACUGUACAUGUAUGUUUAUGUACCUGUAGUAUUUUUGACAUAACUAGUUGUGCAUAAGAGGUAUUAUGAAUGUUUAAUUGAUGUUUAGAGGUUGAAUUUGUAACUAAACCUUUCAAUUCAUUUUUUUUCAGGGGUCUGGAGUGUUCAUCUUUGAAGGGGUGAUGUCAUCGAUGAAGCAGCAGGAAGCUUGGGUCAUCCACUUCCCAAUGCCCAUACAUUGACAUUCCCCUGAUGGAAGCUCUCCAAAUCCUAUUUUUAAUUGAAGAAGGUACAGGUACAAUGUAUAUACAUGCAAUUUAUUUGCCAAAAAGGGAAGAUUUUGAAAGAACAAUAUUUGGCAUAAAUAUAGAACGAUGUUGAAA